GCGCCAGUAGCUCAGCUGGAUAGAGCAGCGGCCUUCUAAGCCGUGGGUCGAGGGUUCGAUUCCUUCCUGGCGCGCCA
rnacentral:tRNA from 1 species